AUUGAACGCUGGCGGCAGGCCUAACACAUGCAAGUCGAGCGGAUGAAGGGAGCUUGCUCCUGGAUUCAGCGGCGGACGGGUGAGUAAUGCCUAGGAAUCUGCCUGGUAGAGGGGGAUAACGUCCGGAAACGGGCGCUGAUACCGCAUACGUCCUGAGGGAGAAAGUGGGGGAUCUUCGGACCACACGCUAUCAGAUGAGCCUAGGUCGGAUUAGCUAGUUGGUGGGGUAAAGGCCUACCAAGGCGACGAUCCGUAACUGGUCUGAGAGGAUGAUCAGUCACACUGGAACUGAGACACGGUCCAGACUCCUACGGGAGGCAGCAGUGGGGAAUAUUGGACAAUGGGCGAAAGCCUGAUCCAGCCAUGCCGCGUGUGUGAAGAAGGUCUUCGGAUUGUAAAGCACUGUAAGUUGGGAGGAAGGGCAGUAUGUUAAUACCUUGCUGUUUUGACGUUACCAACAGAAUAAGCACCGGCUAACUUCGUG
rnacentral:rRNA from 1 species